CAGCAGCCGCGGUAAAACGGAGGGUGCAAGCGUUAAUCGGAAUUACUGGGCGUAAAGCGCACGCAGGCGGUCUGACAAGUCAGAUGUGAAAUCCCCGGGCUUAACCUGGGAACUGCAUUUGAAACUGUCAGACUGGAGUCUUGUAGAGGGGGGUAGAAUUCCAGGUGUAGCGGUGAAAUGCGUAGAGAUCUGGAGGAAUACCGGUGGCGAAGGCGGCCCCCUGGACAAAGACUGACGCUCAGGUGCGAAAGCGUGGGGAGCAAACAGGAUUAGAUACCCCGGUAGUCCCUGUCUCUUAUAC
rnacentral:rRNA from 1 species